rnacentral:tRNA from 1 species
GGAGAGGUGGCCGAGCUGGUCGAAGGCGCGCCCCUGCUAAGGGCGUAUACCCCAAAAGGGUAUCGAGGGUUCGAAUCCCUUCCUCUCCGCCA